GCCAGCCGUCUAUAGACAGAAAUCAAAAAAAUUAAAAUAACAAAUCAUACUCGUAAAGUGAGGCACGAAACCGCUUUUUCAAGUUUCGUCGAUCGCUAGACAAAAUCAGCAACACCAACUUCAGCGUAUUGAGGAGAUUUGUCAGUAUUGGGCACGCAAAAUUUAAAUUACAUUGGACUUUAUUGUAUACAUAGUACGUGUAGCAAUGGAGCCGGCUAAACCUAAUUCAAAAGAGGGGAGUUAGCAUUGAAUGUUAACAAUGUUCCCUAGUAAUGGGUGAAGAGUUCAACAUAUAAUCGACUGCUCCACAAUGCGAUGAUGUGAUGCGCUAUGUCGUCAUAGCCCAACCAUUUCGUGUUCUAUCCUUUUUCCAAGUUGCGUUUACAAAUAUUCAAUUUCAAAUUAAAAAUGUAUGCAGAAUUGUUUUUUUCUCGAAAUUUAAUGAAACUUUUUUC